rnacentral:rRNA from 1 species
UACGUAGGGGGCAAGCGUUGUCCGGAUUCAUUGGGCGUAAAGAGCGUGUAGGCGGCCAGGUAGGUCGGUUGUGAAAACUGGAGGCUCAACCUUCAGAGGUCGACCGAAACCAUCUGGCUAGAGUCCGGGAGAGGAGAGUGGAAUUCCCUGGUGUAGCGGUGAAAUGCGCAGAUAUCAGGAAGAACACCCGUGGCGAAAGCGGCUCUCUGGAACGGUACUGACGCUGAGACGCGAAAGCGUGGGGAGCGAACAGG